rnacentral:rRNA from 1 species
GGCGAACGCUGGCGGCGGGCUUAACACAUGCAAGUCGAACGGAAAGGCCCUGCUUUUGUGGGGUGCUCGAGUGGCGAACGGGUGAGUAACACGUGAGUAACCUGCCCUUGACUUUGGGAUAACUUCAGGAAACUGGGGCUAAUACCGGAUAGGAGCUCCUGCUGCAUGGUGGGGGUUGGAAAGUUUCGGCGGUUGUGGAUGGACUCGCGGCUUAUCAGCUUGUUGGUGGGGUAGUGGCUUACCAAGGCUUUGACGGGUAGCCGGCCUGAGAGGGUGACCGGCCACAUUGGGACUGCGAUACGGCCCAGACUGCUACGUGAGGCAGCAGUGGGGAAUAUUGCCCAAUGGGCGGAAGCCUGAUGCAGCAACGCCGCGUGCGUGAUGACGGCCUGCGGGUUGUAAACCGCUUUCGCCUGUGACGAAGCGGGAGUGACGGUAAUGGGUAAAGAAGCACCGGCUAACUACGUG